rnacentral:rRNA from 1 species
UACGAAGGGGGCUAGCGUUGUUCGGAAUCACUGGGCGUAAAGGGCGCGUAGGCGGCUUUUCAAGUCGGGGGUGAAAGCCUGUGGCUCAACCACAGAAUUGCCUUCGAUACUGUUAGCCUUGAGACCGGAAGAGGUGAGUGGAACUGCGAGUGUAGAGGUGAAAUUCGUAGAUAUUCGCAAGAACACCAGUGGCGAAGGCGGCUCACUGGUCCGGUUCUGACGCUGAGGCGCGAAAGCCAGGGGAGCAAACGGG